CCUUCACAGCCUCCGGUCCCGCCCGAGCUCGCCCGGGCCUCGCGUCUCCCGCCCCGGAAGAGCGCCGCGGAGCAGGGCAAAAACUCGCGGACACAAAGCCAGGGCAGACCUGACACAAAAGCCCCGGGGCUGAACCAUGCAGACACCCGCGACCAAGCCGGAAGCCCACACCAACCGCAGCCCACACACUACAGGCCACUUAUUUUAUUUUAUUCUUUUUAAAAUGUGGGUUUCUGGUCUGUGCAGUUUACCUCGGUGUGACUCAGGAAGGACACUGGAAGUCCCCUGAUCUGGCCAGGACAGAGCCACGUGUGUGUUUAGGAAAAGUGGCCUUCUGUUCUCCAUCCCUAGGGGCUCACGGGAUGCCCUUAGAACAGACUGGCCACAGCAAUUCCCAGUUAAGGCAGAAGGUUGACGUGAGAUCAGUGUUUUAGGAUUAAGUUCUCGCGAAGGGCAGAAAACUGGGAAGCCCAUACUUUUCCACGUUAAUCAAUUGGUUCCAUAAACAUCAUUCCAUUUAUGUUUUUGUGUUUUUUAUUAAUAAUUCCUUUGAGCUUCACUGGGAGAGAUGAGUAUGACUGUGGAGCUCAGUUUUAUAAAGCAUGGGGUGGCUAAGAAACGGAAGUAACUGCCCCAGAAUCCCACAGUCACCCAGUGACCUUCAGCCCAAGAAUCUGAUGGCCACUGCUGCACUCCAAGGGAAAGGAGGCCAUCCGGAGAGAAGAGAAUUACAAGAAUAAGAGUGCAGAGAGUGUCCCAAACACAGUCCUGAGAUUCAUAGAGAAGCACAGGAGGGAGCAACCGUCCAAGUAUCCAGAGUCCUGUGAGGAGAUUUCUUCCUCUGCGCUGAGGAUCUCACUGUGCACCUCCAGCCCUGGGUCGUGGUGGGCUCUGGUGGCCACUGGAGUCUUUGGAGCUGCCUCCCUCUGGCUCUGCUGGGGUUGGAUUCGGGCGUCGAGGUCACCCCCAGCAGGAACAACUGGGGCCACUGGAGGAUCCCCAAGGACACAGGUUGCCCUUUUCAUGCAGGAAGAAUCUGAAUCGUUUCCAUCCAGUUUCCCCGGCAUGCAGCAGAAUACAACACAAGGGGCUGCGGUCUCCUCUGACUCUUAGGGCCCUUGGAAGAUCCUGUUCUGCCCAAAUCAGGGUGAUUUGGGCAAGCAUCCUCAGGGCUCUGGACCUUAGUUUCUUUCCCUGGUUGAUUGAUCAUAUAGGCGUCCUGACUCACACAGUUGAAAAUCAGAUGUGGUGAAAGUGCAUUGAGACCAGAAAAAAUGUUAUUGUCCUCAAAUGCAUGCCCAGAGAGCACUGAAUAAAUUUU